rnacentral:tRNA from 1 species
GUGGCGGUAGCUCAAUUCGGCAGAGCGCCAGGUUGUGAUCCUGGUUGUUACGGGUUCGAAUCCCGUCCGCCACCCCA